rnacentral:rRNA from 1 species
AGCGAACGCUGGCGGCAUGCUUUACACAUGCAAGUCGAACGGUAACAGGGAGCUUGCUCCGCUGACGAGUGGCGAACGGGUGAGUAAUGCGUCGGAACGUGCCGAGUAGUGGGGGAUAACGCUUCGAAAGGAGUGCUAAUACCGCAUACGCCCUGAGGGGGAAAGUGGGGGACCGCAAGGCCUCACGUUAUUGGAGCAGCCGAUGGCUGAUUAGCUAGUUGGUGAGGUAAAGGCUCACCAAGGCGACGAUCAGUAGCGGGUCUUAGAGGACGAUCCGCCACACUGGAACUGGGACACGGUCCAGACUCCUACGGGAGGCAGCAGUGGGGAAUCUUGGACAAUGGGCGAAAGCCUGAUCCAGCCAUGCCGCGUGUGUGAAGAAGGCCUUUUGGUUGUAAAGCACUUUAAGCGAGGAGGAGGCUCUUAAGGUUAAUACCCUUGAUGAGUGGACGUUACUCGCAGAAUAAGCACCGGCUAACUCUGUGCCAGCAGCCGCCGUAACAC